AGGGCACCACCAGGAGUGGAGCCUGCGGCUUAAUUUGACUCAACACGGGGAAACUUACCCGGCCUGGACACUGGAAGGAUUGACAGAUUGAGAGCUCUUUCUUGAUUCAGUGGGUGGUGGUGCAUGGCCGUUCUUAGUUGGUGGAGCGAUUUGUCUGGUUAAUUCCGAUAACGAACGAGACUCUAGCCUAUUAAAUAGGCUCUCGGCUUUUAAACGCCGGGAGGACUUCUUAGAGGGGCAGGUGGCGGUUCAGCCGCACGAAAGAGAGCAAUAACAGGUCUGUGAUGCCCUUUGCUGUCCGGGGCCGCACGCGCGCUACACUGAAGAGAUCAGCGUGCUUUACGUUCCUGCUCCGACCGGAGUGGGGAACCCAGUGAACCUUCUUCGUGAUUGGGAUAGAAGAUUGUAAUUAUUCUUCUUGAACGAGGAAUUCCCAGUAAAUGCGAGUCAUAAGCUCGCGUUGAUUACGUCCCUGCCCUUUGUACACACCGCCCGUCGCUACUACCGAUUGAACGAUUU
rnacentral:rRNA from 1 species